rnacentral:tRNA from 3 species
GGCCCCUUGGUCAAGUGGUUAAGACACCGCCCUUUCACGGCGAUAACAUGGGUUCGAAUCCCGUAGGGGUCACCA